rnacentral:rRNA from 1 species
UACGUAGGGUGCAAGCGUUAAUCGGAAUUACUGGGCGUAAAGCGUGCGCAGGCGGUUUUGUAAGUCUGUCGUGAAAUCCCCGGGCUUAACCUGGGAAUGGCGAUGGAGACUGCAAGGCUAGAGUUUGGCAGAGGGGGGUAGAAUUCCACGUGUAGCAGUGAAAUGCGUAGAGAUGUAGAGGAACACCGAUGGCGAAGGCAGCCCCCUGGGUCAAAACUGACGCUCAUGCACGAAAGCGUGGGGAGCAAACAGG